AAACAGUUCUAAAAACAUUUAUGUACAAUAUGUAUUCAGAGUAUCCCCUUUUUUAGGCAUGCAUGAGAGAUAUUCCAACGUGCAAGUGGCUGGACCAGUGGACAGAACUAGCUCAAAGAUUUGCAUUCCAAUAUAAUCCAUCCCUGCAACCAAGAGCUCUUGUUGUCUUUGGGUGUAUUAGCAAACGAGUGUCUCAUGGGCAGAUAAAGCAGAUAAUCCGUAUUCUUAGCAAGGCACUUGAGAGUUGCUUAAAAGGACCUGACACUUACAACAGUCAAGUUCUGAUAGAAGCUACAGUAAUAGCACUAACCAAAUUACAGCCACUUCUUAAUAAGGACUCGCCUCUGCAUAAAGCCCUCUUUUGGGUAGCUGUGGCUGUGCUGCAGCUUGAUGAGGUCAACUUGUAUUCAGCAGGCACCGCACUUCUUGAACAAAACCUGCAUACUUUAGAUAGUCUCCGUAUAUUCAAUGACAAGAGUCCAGAGGAAGUAUUUAUGGCAAUCCGGAAUCCUCUGGAGUGGCACUGCAAGCAAAUGGAUCAUUUUGUUGGACUCAAUUUCAACUCU
rnacentral:sRNA from 1 species